rnacentral:rRNA from 1 species
GUCCACGCCGUAAACGAUGGAUACUAGCUGUUGGGAGCAAUCUCAGUGGCUAAGCGAAAGUGAUAAGUAUCCCACCUGGGGAGUACGCACGCAAGUGUGAAACUCAAAGGAAUUGACGGGGGCCCGCACAAGCGGUGGAGCAUGUGGUUUAAUUCGAUGAUACGCGAGGAACCUUACCAGGGCUUAAAUGUAGAUUGACAGGACUGGGAAACAGUUUUUCUUCGGACAAUUUACAAGGUGCUGCAUGGUUGUCGU